rnacentral:rRNA from 1 species
UACAGAGGUCCCAAGCGUUGUUCGGAUUUACUGGGCGUAAAGAGCGCGCAGGCGGUUGAUUAAGUCGAAUGUGAAAGCCCCCGGCUCAACUGGGGAGGGUCAUUCGAUACUGAUCGACUUGAAGGCAGGAGAGGGAAGUGGAAUUCCGGGUGUAGUGGUGAAAUGCGUAGAUAUCCGGAGGAACACCAGUGGCGAAGGCGACUUCCUGGCCUGUUCUUGACGCUGAGGCGCGAAAGCUGGGGGAGCAAACGGG